GUUGUUUUUAAUCCAACCUGCAACCACACAACAAAGGUUAAUGAAGGAUUAAAUCAAAUAAAUGUAAUGGAAUUCAAGAAACCAAAAUGAAGCAGUGAACUAAAUGAAAUGCAGAAACUGAAACUUAAUGGAAGAAAAUGAAACGAAAUCCCCCUUUUUAAAUCCGGCUCAGAAAUCUUCGACCCAACACCACAAAGGUAACUUCAAUUGGGAGACUUUUUCAUUCACGAAGAAGAAAAGGCACACAAAGGCACACCACAAAGGUCGACUUCGGUUUUCACAGAGAAGGAAGUCUUUUUAUUCUUUUGCAGAAAAGUUCUCACUCUAAGAAGAAGAAGGCAGCCGGCUUCUCUCUUUUUCAAAUUGGUUGAGUUUUUUGGAUAUAUAAAACUCUUGUAUAUUAUCACGAGGGAAAUCAAAUCUCCAAGAUAACAGGGAAGUUUAAAUUUGAGUCCAACAGAAAUAGUAGGGAUAGGAUAAUUAUCACGAGAUAAUUAUUUGCAACCAAUUCUAUCUUUUGUGAUUUCAUUUAUCUCCAUAGUCGGGUAUUGAGCAUCUAGCCCAAUGGGCUGAUUUCCUCCAAAUACCCAAUACAAUUGGGUUACAUCAAUUGUGGU
rnacentral:lncRNA from 1 species